GACGAACGCUGGCGGCGUGCUUAACACAUGCAAGUCGAACGGAAAGGCCCUGCUUUUGUGGGGUGCUCGAGUGGCGAACGGGUGAGUAACACGUGAGUAACCUGCCCUUGACUUUGGGAUAACUUCAGGAAACUGGGGCUAAUACCGGAUAGGAGCUCCUGCUGCAUGGUGGGGGUUGGAAAGUUUCGGCGGUUGGGGAUGGACUCGCGGCUUAUCAGCUUGUUGGUGGGGUAGUGGCUUACCAAGGCUUUGACGGGUAGCCGGCCUGAGAGGGUGUCCGGCGACAUUGGGACUGAGAUACGGCCCAGACUCCUACGGGAGGCAGCAGUGGGGAAUAUUGCACAAUGGGCGGAAGCCUGAUGCAGCAACGCCGCGUGCGGGAUGACGGCCUUCGGGUUGUAAACCGCUUUCGCCUGUGACGAAGCGUGAGUGACGGUAAUGGGUAAAGAAGCACCGGCUAACUACGUG
rnacentral:rRNA from 1 species